rnacentral:rRNA from 1 species
AGAUUGAACGCUGGCGGCAUGCCUUACACAUGCAAGUCGAACGGCAGCACGGGGGCAAUCCUGGUGGCGAGUGGCGAACGGGUGAGUAAUGCAUCGGAACGUGCCCAGUAGUGGGGGAUAACUAGUCGAAAGAUUAGCUAAUACCGCAUACGACCUAUGGGUGAAAGCGGGGGAUUCGCAAGAACCUCGCGCUAUCGGAGCGGCCGAUGUCUGAUUAGCUAGUUGGCGGGGUAAAAGCCCACCAAGGCUUCGAUCAGUAGCUGGUCUGAGAGG